AUUGAACGCUGGCGGCAGGCCUAACACAUGCAAGUCGGGCGAGAGGCGGAGGGGGGAGUAAUGUAGGGGGAUCGGCCUGAGGGAGGGGGAUAAAGACGGGAAACGGGAGCUAAGAAAGCAUACCAUCAGAUGAACGAAUAUGGGAUUAGCUUGUAGGUGAGGUAACGGCUCACCUAGGCGACGAUCCCUAGCUGGUCUGAGAGGAGGAUCAGCCACACUGGGAGUGAGACACGGCCCAGACUCCUACGGGAGGCAGCAGUGGGGAAUAUUGCACAAUGGGCGCAAGCCUGAUGCAGCCAUGCCGCGUGUAUGAAGAAGGCCUUCGGGUUGUAAAGUACUUUCAGUCGGGAGGCGUUCCCGACCCCCGAAGCACCGGCUAACUCCGUGCCAGCAGCCGCGGUAAUAC
rnacentral:rRNA from 1 species